AUUGAACGCUGGCGGCAGGCUUAACACAUGCAAGUCGAACGAGUGGCGGACGGGUGAGUAAUGCUUGGGAAUCUGGCUUAUGGAGGGGGAUAACGCCGGGAAACUGUCGCUAAUACCGCGUACCAUCGGAUGAGCCCAAGUUGGUUUAGGUAGGUGGUGGGGUAAUGGCCUACCAAGGCGACGAUCCCUAGCUGGUCUGAGAGGAUGACCAGCCACACCGGGACUGAGAGAGGGCCCGGACUCCUACGGGAGGCAGCAGUGGGGAAGAUUGGGCAAUGGGGGCAACCUGACGCAGCCAUGCCGCGUGAAUGAAGAAGGCCUUCGGGUUGUAAAGUUCUUUCGUUGACAAGGCGUUAAUCACAGAAGAAGCACCGGCUAACUCCGUGCCAGCAGCCGCGGUAAUAC
rnacentral:rRNA from 1 species